ensembl:lncRNA
AGGGUCCGGCCAGCUGUGUGUCCUUCUCGAGGACUGGAGACUUCAGAUGAACAGGUGAUGCUGUGGAGGACUAACUUUGACAGCGUGGAUUACAGUGAGGUGCUGCAGCAGAAUGAGGCUUCGGGAUGAGACGGCUUCGGUUCACAGCCGGCCGUCAGCACAGAUGUUCACUGAUGGACUGGAGUGCUGUGGAUUGCUUGUGGAUUAUUGUGAUGUUUUUAUCAGCUGUUUGGACUCUCAUUCUGACGGCACCCAUUCACUGCAGAGCAUCCAUUGCUGAGACACUGAUGCAGUGCUACAUUUCUACAAACCUGAUGAAGAAACAAACUCAUCCUGUUCUGUGGUGGACUGAGGGUGAGCACAUUUUCAGC